AUCAGACCCUGUACGGCUCUCCGGAGUUUAGCAAAAGUAAUGGUCGCUUGAAGGAUAAGAGCUCCUGCAGCACAGAGACUUGAACCAGUUUUAGAAACACUCCCUGUGCUGAGCUGCAGCCCAGCCCUCACAGGCAAGAUGGACCAGAAUUAGCUGUACCCAGGGAGCUUGAGAAGAGAAGGAAAGACCUAUGGAUGUCACUCCUCCAUUUGCUAACUGGAGUAACCUGGUACUGAAGAGAGAGGGUCCCGAGUCAGGAGAGGUCAAUACCACAAAGUGCAUUUGCCAUGCUGCCCUUUCCUCCACAGAAGAGCAGAGGACUGUGGAUGACCUAGGGCCUUCCUCUCUCAGGACCCUGUCUGCAUCAUGGGGAGUAAUGAAGAGGAUUUGUCAUUGCCUCCAGCUGCCAUUUAAAACUGCCUCUGCUCCCUACAGAAAGCAGUGUAGAUGUUUUGCAAAGGU